GACGAACGCUGGCGGCGUGCUUAACACAUGCAAGUCGAACGGAAAGGCCCUGCUUUUGUGGGGUGCUCGAGUGGCGAACGGGUGAGUAACACGUGAGUAACCUGCCCUUGACUUUGGGAUAACUUCAGGAAACUGGGGCUAAUACCGGAUAGGAGCUCCUGCUGCAUUGUGGGGGUUGGAAAUUUUCGGCGGUUGGGGAUGGACUCGCGGCUUAUCAGCUUGUUGGUUGGGUAGUGGCUUACCAAGGCUUUGAAGGGUAGCCGGCCUGAGAGGGUGACCGGCCACAUUGGGACUGAGAUACGGCCCAGACUCCUACGGGAGGCAGCAGUGGGGAAUAUUGCACAAUGGGCGGAAGCCUGAUGCAGCAACGCCGGGUGCGGGAUGACGGCCUUCGGGUAGUAAAACGCUUUCGCCUGUGACGAAGCGUGAGUGACGGUAAUGAGUAAAGAAGCACCGGCUAACUACGUG
rnacentral:rRNA from 1 species